rnacentral:rRNA from 1 species
UACGUAGGGUGCAAGCGUUAAUCGGAAUUACUGGGCGUAAAGCGUGCGCAGGCGGUUUUUCAAGACAGAUGUGAAAUCCCCGGGCUUAACCUGGGAAUGGCAUUUGUGACUGGAAGGCUAGAGUGUGUCAGAGGGGGGUAGAAUUCCACGUGUAGCAGUGAAAUGCGUAGAGAUGUGGAGGAAUACCGAUGGCGAAGGCAGCCCCCUGGGACAUGACUGACGCUCAUGCACGAAAGCGUGGGGAGCAAACAGG